rnacentral:rRNA from 1 species
ACGCUGGCGGCAGGCCUAACACAUGCAAGUCGGACGGUAACAGGAGAGAAGCUUGCUUUUCUUGCUGACGAGUGGCGGACGGGUGAGUAACGCGUGGGAAUCUACCCUUUAGUUGGGGACAACAUAUGGAAACGUAUGCUAAUACCGAAUAUGCUCUACGGAGUAAAGGUGCCCUCUCCUUGGAAGGUAUCGCUAAAGGAUGAGCCCGCGUUAGAUUAGCUAGUUGGUAGGGUAAAGGCCUACCAAGGCGACGAUCUAUAGCUGGUUUGAGAGGAUGAUCAGCCACACUGGGACUGAGACACGGCCCAGACUCCUACGGGAGGCAGCAGUGGGGAAUAUUGCACAAUGAGGGAAACCUUGAUGCAGCCAUGCCGCGUGUGUGAAGAAGGCCCGAGGGUUGUAAAGCACUUUCAAUUGUGAGGAAGAUUAAGUAGCUAAUACCUGCUUAGUUUGACGUUAACUUUAGAAGAAGCACCGGCUAACUCUGUGCCAGCAGCCGCGGUAAUACAGAGGGUGCAAGCGUUAUUCGGAAUUACUGGGCGUAAAGCGCGCGUAGGCGGACUGUUAAGUCGGUUGUGAAAGCCCUGGGCUCAACCUAGGAACUGCAUCCGAUACUGGCAAUCUAGAGUUUAAGAGAGGGAAGUGGAAUUCCAGGUGUAGCAGUGAAAUGCGUAGAUAUCUGGAGGAACAUCAGUGGCGAAGGCGACUUCCUGGCUUAAAACUGACGCUGAGGUGCGAAAGCUUGGGUAGCGAACGGGAUUAGAUACCCCGGUAGUCCAAGCCGUAAACGAUGUCAACUAGCUGUUGGUCUUAUUAAAAAGAUUAGUAGCGCAGCUAACGCGAUAAGUUGACCGCCUGGGGAGUACGGU